UCCUUCCCGAGCUGCCGUCUUUCCCAGGGUCCGCUCACUGAGUCCCCACAUGCCCAGCGUCGGACCUGACCCUCGGACAGGCGCGGCCCCAGACGCCGGGGACAGGGCAGUCAACAGAACAGACACAACUCCUCGCCUUCCUAGUUGGGGCUCUGUUUUCCUGUGUCUUCCGUGACACUGUCUUGAGCGUGCUUGCUUAUGAAGGUUUGACACCCGUCCCCACCAUACCUGCCUGCCACUGCCAGGAUGACUGGAGUCUCAGGUGGCUUUGUGCCAAUGGAGGGAAAAAGAAAGAUAACAAGGAACUAGACACUGUGGGUGAACUCCUGGCCUCCUGCUGCGAGGCGCCUGAGGACCCUGGGCUCUCCCUCCUCGGUUUGGGCUUCAGAGGACCCUGGGCUCUCCCUCCUCGGUUUGGGCUUCAGAAGGUGGCUCCACUUCUGGGUGGCAGUGACAGGCAGACCUGCUGAGAGCCCAGAGAGAAAUACUACCCUGCAGGGAGAUAAGGUCAUCAACCUGCCACCACUGGUAUAUUCCCAUAAUAAUGUCCACUGGUCCCAGUCGAGAGGCACCCACUCCUUUUCCUCUUGUCUAACACAGGAGUCUCGAGCUGCCUAAAGAAACCCAUUUUUGGGAAGAGGAUUAAAAACAAACAAACAAA